GGCUCAGGAUGAACGCUAGCGGCAGGCUUAACACAUGCAAGUCGAGGGGCAACGCGAGUAGCAAUACUUGGCGGCGACCGGCGCAAGGGUGCGUAACGCGUGAGCAACAUGCCCGUAUCAGGGGGAUAAUCCAGGGAAACUUGGUCUAAUACCCCAUAGUAAUUUUGUAAGGCAUCUUAUAAGAUUUAAAGCUUUGGUGGAUACGGAUUGGCUCGCGUGACAUUAGCUGGAUGGUAAGGUAACGGCUUACCAUGGCUAUGAUGUCUAGGGGUUCUGAGAGGAAGGUCCCCCCACACUGGAACUGAGACACGGCCCAGACUCCUACGGGAGGCAGCAGUGAGGAAUAUUGGACAAUGGAUGGAAAUCUGAUCCAGCCAUGCCGCGUGAAGGAAGAAAGGUCCUAUGGAUUGUAAACUUCUUUUGUAUGGGAGCAAUAAGGCCUACGAGUAGGCUGAUGAGAGUACCAUACGAAUAAGCACCGGCUAACUCCGUGCCAGCCGCAGC
rnacentral:rRNA from 1 species